rnacentral:rRNA from 1 species
GACGAACGCUGGCGGCGUGCUUAACACAUGCAAGUCGAACGGAAAGGCCCUGCUUUUGUGGGGUGCUCGAGUGGCGAACGGGUGAGUAACACGUGAGUAACCUGCCCUUGACUUUGGGAUAACUUCAGGAAACUGGGGCUAAUACCGGAUAGGAGCUCUUGCUGCUUGGUGGGGGUUGGAAAGUUUCGGCGGUUGGGGAUGGACUCGCGGCUUAUCAGCUUGUUGGUGGGGUAGUGGAUUACCAAGGCUUUGACGGGUAGCCGGGCUGAGAGGGUGACCGGCCACAUUGGGACUGAGAUACGGCCCAGACUCCUACGGGAGGCAGCAGUGGGGAAUAUUGCACAAUGGGCGGAAGCCUGAUGCAGCAACGCCGCGUGCGGGAUGACGGCCUGCGGGUUGUAAACCGCUUUCGCCUGUGACGAAGCGUGAGUGACGGUAAUGGGUAAAGAAGCACCGGCUAACUACGUG